UGGUCAAUAUGGAAUUUUUUGUAGAUAAACUAAAAGACGGCUGAAAUAUUGAAAAAAAAAUUCAGCAUGUGAUGUUAGCGUGUGCAUUGUAGCAGAAUCGCUUAACUUUUGCGAAUGCGUGACAAAGUUGAGUAACGCCAUAUCUCCGCUAGCAAGAAGCAAAGCUAAAAACACGAAUUUUAAUGAUGAAGGAAUUUGAGGGACUGAUUGCUGCACCCUACACUCCUUUUGAUCAAAAUGGUGACCUGAAGCUCGAUGUUAUUUCAAAGUACAUCCAGUUGCUGCUCGACCAAGGAGUACAAGGGGUCUGGGUUUGCGGUGCUACUGGCGAGGGAAUGUCUCUUACAGUCGAGGAGCGUAAAGCGGUGGCCAGUGCAUGGGUGUACGAAGGCAAAGGACGUUUGAAGCACAUCAUUAUCAACGUCGGAACAGGGAAUCUGAGAGACACACAAGAACUGGCCAACCAUGCGGCAGCUAUCGGUGCAGAUGCAAUAGGAUCAACCCCAACGGUGUACCCAAGGCCAGUCAGCAUAGACAACCUGGUGCAGUAUCUUUCCGAAGUUGGAAGAGUCGUCCCAGACACGCCCCUCUUAUACUACCAUGCACCGGGAGCAACAAAUGUCACGUUUCCCAUGGAGGAAUUCCUUGUGGCUGCUUCUGAAAAGAUCCCAUCCCUCGUGGGGAUCAAAUAUUCGUCCCCAGACCUCUUCGAUUUCAGCAGAUGCCUUCGGUACAAAAAUGGGAAGUACCAAAUGAUGUGGGGAGCAGAUGAGCUACUAAUCGGUGCUUACAGCGUUGGUGCUCGCACUGCUAUUGGCUCCCUGUGUACGCGCAUGCGUAUACGUUAUUCAUCUCUGUCGGGUACCAGAGGCUUUUCGUUUCCAGGCCCUCCCGUCGGCAUUGGUUUGUCGCGCUCUCGGUUCCCGUCGGCGUUCGUUUGACGCGCUUCGGAUUUUCGGCGGACAUACAACUAUAUGGCGCCCGUUUAUGCUCGUAUGAUUACAGCGUUCAAACAGGGAAAGAUGGAGACGGCACGCAAAGAAAUGGAUCGAUCACAAGCUCUGGUCAAGAUCCUUUUCAAGUUUGGUAAGAUAUUCCUCUCAUUGAAAAUAAGUAUUAAGUUAUCCUUCUAUCUCUUUCAUCCUUAAUAGUAACACGAAAUAAAGUUUGAUGUUUACAUCUCA